rnacentral:rRNA from 1 species
AUUGAACGCUGGCGGCAGGCCUAACACAUGCAAGUCGAGCGAGAGGCGGACGGGUGAGUAAUGUCUGGGAAACUGUCCGAUAGAGGGGGAUAACUACUGGGAACGGUAGCUAAUACAGCAUACCAUCACAUGUGUCCAGAUGGGGUUAGCUAGUAGGUGGGGUAACGGCUCCCCAAGGCGACGAUCCCUAGCUGGUCUGAGAGGAUGACCAGCCACACGGGAACUGAGAAACGGUCCAGACUCCUACGGGAGGCAGCAGUGGGGAAUAUUGCACAAUGGGCGCAAGCCUGAUGCAGCCAUGCCGCGUGUGUGAAGAAGGCCUUCGGGUUGUAAAGCACUUUCAGCGGGGAGGCGUUACCCGCAGAAGAAGCACCGGCUAACUCCGUGCCAGCAGCCGCGGUAAUAC